UACGUAGGGUCCGAGCGUUGUCCGGAAUUAUUGGGCGUAAAGCGCGCGUAGGCGGACCUGCAAGUCGGGGGUGAAAGCCCGAGGCUCAACCUCGGAACUGCCUUCGAUACUGCGGGUCUCGAGUCCGGGAGAGGUGAGUGGAAUUCCUAGUGUAGAGGUGAAAUUCGUAGAUAUUAGGAAGAACACCAGUGGCGAAGGCGGCUCACUGGCCCGGUACUGACGCUGAGGCGCGAAAGCGUGGGGAGCAAACAGG
rnacentral:rRNA from 1 species